rnacentral:rRNA from 1 species
UACGUAGGGGGCAAGCGUUGUCCGGAAUCAUUGGGCGUAAAGCGCGUGUAGGCGGCGCGGUAAGUCGGGUGUGAAAUCUCGGGGCUUAACUCCGAAACUGCAUUCGAUACUGCCGUGCUUGAGGACUGGAGAGGAGACUGGAAUUUACGGUGUAGCGGUGAAAUGCGUAGAUAUCAGGAGGAACACCUGUGGCGAAAGCGGCUCACUUGACCACAACUGACGCUGAGGCGCGAAAGCUAGGGGAGCAAACAGG